rnacentral:lncRNA from 1 species
UAACCCAUAAAAAUCCCACAUCCUUUUUCUUCUAAGUAGCAGCUUGAACACACAAUAGAAAGGGGAUCAUCAGUUUUUAAGUUAAUGAAACCCUAGGGACCCUUUUUUCUUCUGAUCAGCCGCAACUCCCAAAAGAGACCGCCCUCCCCCCCGAACUCCUUCUUCUUCAACAAAGAGAACCAACCAAAAGACCCCAUUCCAGCCGCUAGAUCUUCUCCGAAAUCACCGGCGACACCCCUACUCACCAGCCUUCGCCAGAACCCCACCCCAAAAAUCAGCAACAACAACACACUCUACCCCUGAAUUUGAUAAACAACAACGACACUCUCCCUUCUCCACCUUCUCACCGCUAUUUUCUCCCUUCAUUAAAAAAAACCAGUCGUCAUUACACCAAAAACGAGCCCAAGUUCUUUAUCUCCUCACCUCUACUACUGUUUCAACUAUGGUAUGGCCGGAAAUCUUAGUUUUGAUUUGACAAGAAAAUUAAUCUGGCGACUGUUUCAUCACCACAAUUCUCAUGUGCUUCACUUCUAUGUCAGACGGGUUUAGAUCUAACAGUGCCAUCAUCAUCGUGGUAGUAAGUAUGUUUUGACGUCUGGAUUUGAGUCCGUUCGAGGUCGUCGAAGUUUUGAUUGAAGUUCUCGGUCAGAGGUUUAGUUCACGUCCUAGCUUUGGAAGUCAUUUUCUUCAUUGUAGACUAUUUUGAUGCUCUAACCCAUUGAAGUAGCCGUUUACUAAAGGUCAUGUAUUAACUCUAUUUUUCUUUCAAUUUCUAGAUCUUGUGUCUUGAAUGUUUGAAUUGUUUGUUUGGUUUUCUCCUACUUUUGCUUGCUGCUUACAUGAUAAUAUUGUGAGCAUUUCUGUGGUGAAUUUUCUCGCCUCAUUCUUAAUGGAGUAGAUAAGUCUUGUUAUUCUCUUCUCUCAAGCACAUGUGAAUGUUAAAUGGAUGAAGUUAGUUUCAACAAGCACGCCAUGGAUUUCAACUUUCCUGGUGAGAAGCUCAUUUUGGUCAUUUUUGUAUUAGCAUGUUAAAAAUUGGAUUUCAAUUUAAUAGAUUGUUAUAGUUUGCAGUAACUUGAGAAAUUUGAUAAUAUGCAAAGUAGUGGUAGUGUUGAUAUGCAGACGAUUUGGGUAUUGUGUAUAAAAGUGUAUCACUUAGGUCUCUCCUGUUUCUAUUGAGUUGCUACUCAUAACACAACAUAAUUAUGAUUUUCUAACAUGAACCUUCGUAGUAUGCUUUAGGCAUGCUAAUAAUGAAUUAUCGUGACUAUGGGUACGAUUCCCGUGGUGUGAUUCGCAAUGUGUCCCAAACAAACAAGUGCGCGACAUCACAACUUGUUCAAAAAAUUCCAUAAUUGUUUUAAAUGUUGAAAGCGGUUAAAAGGAAUAAAAAUACACAAUAGGUAUAAGAUAUUUAAUUAAUCAGAUAAUUAGGCCAAUAAUAAUAGUUGAGCGACCGUACUAAAAUUAUAGAACCCGAAAAUGCCUAACACCUUCUCCCGGGUUAAUAGAAUUCCUUACCCGAAUUUAUGUGUUUCGCAGACUGUAAAAUAGAGUCAAUUUUCCUCGAUUUUUAACCGGUGACUUGGGACACCAUAGAUUAUCCCAAGUGGUGACUCUGAACUUAAAUAAAUAAUCCUAUUUCGAUUAUUGUUACUUUAAUUGGAAAAACUCCCCUAUACCCCUUUCCGGGUAGAAAAAGGAGGUGUGACAGGUGACCAAUCAUCAUAUUCUUGCCAUGUAUACUGAUAUCCGAGCCAAAAGCUGUACCAUGACGUUUCAACUGUAUUCGUUUGGUAAUGCCCUAGAGUUUCUUCCUAAGCCCUUGCCGGGUUCAUACCCUGACCAUGCCAAUAUGCUUUUUAUUUUGCUUCUCCACCAUUUAUCUUUCUCAAUUUUAUUGACACGCUCGAUGUAGUGAUAAGUUUCUCCACCCAACUUUCUUCUAUUCUCGGCAACUGGGACAGUUUGACUAGUGUAAAUGGGAUUACUUCUAUCUCCGUGAAUGAUUACCUCCUGAUGAUUCCAUUCGAACUUCACAGCCUGGUGUAGCUAUUUACCUUGAAAAUAAUAAUUACAAUUAAAUUUGAUUUGUGGUUCAAAAAAUACGUGAUCUAUUUUUAUGUUAGUUGUUAGGUAAUUGAUGUUAAGUGAAAGACUUAGAAAUAAGAUAAGAGCUUGGGAGCAAGGUGAUAAUCAAACCGAAUGGUUAAUAAUUGGGGCCUUGAGCUUGCCUAUUCGGGGCCUCAAGGUAGAGUCCUAUGCUCAGCAGGGAGCUACCGAGGGUGGAUUUAACAGUUAUGAUAGAAUCAAUGGCAGCUAUUUAUGGCCAAAAAUAAGAAAUAAAUGAAGAGAAAUAAAUGGAUCACAAUGAACAUGUGAUGACCCGACCGGUCGUCUUAAGAAUUAAUGCCCUGAUCCCCUAUUAACUGCUUUCCCCGAGUUUAGUUAUGCUAUUUUGAUGUGUCGGGACAUUCGGUUUUGAGUUUCGGGGAGUUUCGGGAUACUUAGUCCCUAGAUGAGAGCUUAAGUGUUGGAAAGUUGACCAUACAUAGAACAGCAUAAAGACGGCCUCAGAAUGGAAAUCCAAUGGUUUUGUUAGCUCCGUUAGGUGAUUCCAGACUUAGGGGCGUAUUCGGAUUGUGUUUUGGAGGUCCGUAGCUAAUUUAGGAUUGAAAUGUCGAAAGUUAAAUUUUUGAAGUUUCUGGUCCGACAGUGAGAUUUAGAUCCGAGGGUCGGAAUGAAAUUCCGGAAGUUGGAGUAGCUCCAUAGUGUUGAAUAGGAAAUGUGUGCAAAAUUUUAGGUCAUUCGGAUGAGGUUUCAUAGACUUUUUGAUCGAAAGCGUAUUUUGAGAAUUUUGGAGUUCUUAGGCUUAAAUCCAUGGUUAAUUCGAGGUUUUGAUGUUGGUUUAGGUGUUUUAAGGAUUGUCACAAGUUUGGAUAGUGGAUUGUGACAAGUUGGUGCCUUUGGUUGAGGUCCCGGAGGCCUCGGGAUGAAUUCAUACGGUUGACGGAAGGAUUUUAGAGUUAAAGUUGCAGCUUCAACUGCUAGUUCUGUCAUAACCGCACCUGUGGUUUGGGUUCCGCAGGUGCGGAACCACAAAAGUGGCUCAGUGGCCGCAGAAGUGGAAUUUGGAAAUUUCUUCAGGAACCACAGAAGCGGUGGUAAUUCCGCAGAAGCGGUACUGCAUCUGCGGAUUGGGAGUCACAGAUGCGGAACCUGUCCAUUAAGUGAAAAGUCGUAGGUGCGACCUUGGGUCUGCAAAAGUGGGACCGCAGAUGCGAUCCUAGGGCCGCAGAUAAGGAAAUCGCUGGGCAGAACAUAAAAAUUCUUGCCUUUGCGAAAUUUAGCCAUUUUUCAUCUUUCUCAAAAUAGGAAGAACUUAGGGAACACUUUUCAAGAGAGAUUUUCAGAGGAGUUAAUUGGGGUAAGGUCUUUCAUCCCUAAACUCGUUAUUGGAAUGUUUUUUUAUCAAUUUAAGCAUGAAAAAUUAAGGAAAAUUAGUGGUAAUUGGAGGGUUAGGGCUUGUCUAAUUGGACACCUAUGAGUGAUGAUUCGAGGGACAAACUGAGGUCCAAUUUUGGUACUUUUGAUAUGACUGAACUCAUGAGAGUGCAAGGUUUCUGGAAAUAUAAAUUUUACCCGAUUCCGAGACGUGGGCCCGAGGGGCAUUUUGAUCAUUUUACAUAAUUUCACGUAUUAGCUUAGAAUUUAAUUGUAGAAUUAGUUACUUGAAGUGUUAUUUAUAUUAUGCAAUUGUAUUGAAUAGAUUUGGGCCAUUUGGAGUCAAGUACUCGUGGCAAGAGCGUGGUUUCAGAUUGAUUUUUUGAGCCGGUUCGAGGUAAGUGGCUUGUCUAACCUUGUGUGGGGGACCUUCCCCUUAGGAAUGGUAUAUUUGGUAAUUGAAAUGCCUUGUACGUGAGGUGACGAGUGCGUACUUGUGCUAAUUGUUGGAAAUCUGAUUUUCUUUAAGUAAUUACUAGUAUGUUUCCUUUCCUGUCUCUAUUACUUGCACUAUUAAGCAUGUUGUUAGCUUAGGAAAGCAUGUCUAAGUGACUUAAUUGUUUUAAUUGCUCAAUCUGCCUUACCUGAAUUCUGUGCAGUAUGCGAGGUUAGAAUCACUUGUUGCCUUAAUAUGAAAUUUUGCCAUUUCUAUAUAUUUUCCUGUUGAUGUUGUGUAUUUAUUUUGGGAUUACGGAUGUGGGAUUCCGGUAGCUCCCCCUUGUUUGUUUAUUUUGGGACUACGGAUGUGGGGAUUCCGAUAGAUCNNNNNNNNNNNNNNNNNNNNNNNNNACUAUGGAACGGGAUUCCGGUAGAUCCCCGCGCACUAUGAGUUGGACUACGGGACGGGAUCCCAGGAGAUCCAUUGGAUAUGUACAUAUGGGACUACAGGACGGUAUCCUAGGAGAUCUCCGAUGGUUAUUAUUGGUGUUGAGCUGUAUUUCUUUUCCGUGUUUACCUUGCUUUUGUAUAGUUGUUGUCCUGUACAUUCGGUGUUAUUUUACUGAUGUAUUUAUUCAUAUUGUUCUGUUCUAUACUGUUGAUCUUUAUAUUUUAUUUAACCUCAGUAGGGCCCUGACCUUCCUCGUCGCUACCCAACCGAGGUUAGGCUUGGAACUUACUGAGUACUGUUGUGGUGUACUCAUGCCCCUUCUGCGCAUGUUUUUCAUGUGCAGAUCCAGGUACCGCUACUCAGGCCUACCAUCCUUGAGGGAGACGACUGCUCUAGAGACUUCGAGGUACAUCUGCCGCGUCUGCAGACCGAGGAGUCCCUUUCUAUUAUAGCUAUUAAACGUUGCCCUUCUGUAUUUUGCUUUUUUGUUAGAUAUUCUGGAGUUAGACUGUUAGAUUUUUCAAAAGCUUGUAUUUCUGUGAGUUUUCGGGUUUUGGGAAUUGUUGUUAGCUUCGAGAGUGGUUAUUGUAUUUGCCGAGCGGCACCAUAAACACUGUUUCAUUUUACUAUUUUGGUUUUUAAUUA